rnacentral:ncRNA from 2 species
ACGCGCAUUACAGGAGAGAAGUCACCCAUAGGCUCGCCGAAGGAGCAACGACCCCGGAAACUCUCAGGCAAAAGGACUGUAAUCUAUCU